AUUGAACGCUGGCGGCAUGCUUUACACAUGCAAGUCGAACGGUAACGCGGGGCAACCUGGCGACGAGUGGCGAACGGGUGAGUAAUGCAUCGGAACGUGCCCGGUAGUGGGGGAUAACUGCUCGAAAGAGCAGCUAAUACCGCAUACGACCUGAGGGUGAAAGGGGGGGAUCGCAAGACCUCUCGCUAUUGGAGCGGCCGAUGUCGGAUUAGCGAGUUGGUGGGGUAAGGGCCCACCAAGGCGACGAUCCGUAGCUGGUCUGAGAGGACGACCAGCCAGACUGGGACUGAGACACGGGCCAGACUCCUACGGGAGGCAGCAGUGGGGAAUUUUGGACAAUGGACGCAAGUCUGAGCCAGCCAUGCCGCGUGCGGGAAGAAGGCCUUCGGGUUGUAAACCGCUUUUGUCAGAGAAGAAAUCUUCUGGGUUAAUACCUCGGGAGGAUGACGGUAUCUGAAGAAUAAGCACCGGCUAACUACGUGCCAGCCGCCGCAGUAA
rnacentral:rRNA from 1 species